rnacentral:tRNA from 1 species
ACUUAAAUAGUUUAAUAAAAAUAUUGAUUUGUGAUAUCAAAGAUAUAAUGAAGUUAUUUUAGGUA